GCCUAGUUAACUCGGUAGGUAUAGAGCGUCUGCCUCGUAAGCGCUAGGUUGCGGGUUCGAUUCCCGCCCGGGGCG
rfam:Asian citrus Psyllid, Diaphorina citri - Florida Strain, whole genome shotgun sequence.